AAAGAUGAGAGGGAGAACAUGGAAGCCAGUUGGCAGACUGUUCAUGGUGGACCAGAGAUUCCACAAGACGAGGAGGAAGGGACUGACAUGGGUGCAGCCGGCGGAAGUGGAGGGGUCUCAUGCUGACCUGGUGAUAAAAUCUAUAUAAAAUCUUCUGGAACAAGAUUAAAAAGAAGAAAAGUUUUCACUCUCAAGGAUGAGGAAUGGACAAGACUGAUAGGUAAAUUUAAAUAUUGGCAGAGUUCCCAAUGUGACACGGUGAGUUAAGAAUCCAACUGCAGCAGCGCAGGUCACUGUAAAGGCAUGUGUUCAAUCCCUGGCCCAGUGCGGUGGGUUGAAGAAUCCAGCAUUGCUGCAGCUUUAGAGUAGGUUGAAACUGCAGCUCAGAUUUAGUCCCUGGCCCAGAAACUUCCAUACACCAAAGGUUUGGCCAUUAAAAGGAAGGAAGGAAGGAAUAUUGGCAGUCAGAGAAAUACAGGUCUUUUAUAUGAAAUGAGGUUACAAAUAAUUGGAGGUGAGGAAAUGGAAGUAGGUGGUAUAAAUAUCUUUGUAGUCAAGCUUUAUGAGAGCAGAAACAUUGUGUGGUAGUGGUUGAGGUCCAGAUAAAAGAGGCAGGAGCUGGGACCUAGUGAGGGCUUUCUAAAGCUAGGAAACAGGAUAGCCUGUGAAAUGAUAGAAAUAAUUGAGGAAGGAAGGAUAAACUGACAAUGGAUGGGAGAGGGGGACACUUCAGGAGGAAAGAUCUUGAACGGAUGAGAGGAAAUGAUGGUCCAGAUUGGCCCUGGGCAGGUGCAUGGGCACAGAUGCCAGUGGGUAGAUGGACAGUAAGAGUUAGAAAAGGAAGCAAUUUUCAAACUGCUAUUACUUUUCUUCUUUUUCUCUCAAUUCUGAGAGACUCGACAGCAGAGUCCUGUGCUCCCUUGAGUUCAAAUAAGGGACAGAUUUAAACCUGUCCUUGGACUUAGAAGGAUGAUGAAGAAGCAAAUAACUGUGUGCAGCGGCUGAUUGCAGGGGCUUCGCUUUCAGACAGCCUUUUCUGUCCUGACUCUGCCACCUUCCUUCAGUUAUGGGACCCCCAUCAGGUUACCUGAUGGUGGGUAUAAGCCCAGGUUCUGGACUGCAUUCCUAGCUUGGGACCCUGGGCCCAUCACUAACUGGCUGUGUCAACCUGGAUCAGGCAGUCGGCCCUUUAUGCCUGGUAGCUUCUUGUGUAACAUGGAGAUUAAAGACAGCCCUACUCAGAGGCAGGAAUAAGUGAGAACACUGUCAGUUUUGGAGAGAAAAUAUUUCUUCUGUUCAGUCAAUAUUAGCGGUUAUUUUCACUCUCUAAGCCUUCAUAUCUUUAUGUAACAUGGGCUCAAUAAUAGACCUGCCACACAUGAUUGUUGUGAGAAUGAAAAAUUACACACAAAGUUCCUAGCACUGCAGCAAGUGAAUGUAAACGGGAAAAAAAGUGUGAGUGAGGGUCAGAGAUGGCUCCACCGGACAGCCAGAAAUUAGGAAUUUUUUUAUUAAGGUUGGGAGAGAAAGAGUGACUUGUGUUUUGAAGGCAAAGUUUUUAAAACUAAAUUCAUGAUAGAAGGGAAGCCAAUUAAAACCUGAUGGUGUGGCGAAGGAUGAGCCUUUCCUUUGACUCUGAUAAAUUUAAUAAAAAUUGAUUCAUUUUCACUUUACUAAACUUGAGAGGACAUGGUAUGUGUGCAUGGGCAUACUUUAGAACAAAUAUCUGCAGAGGCUAAGUUAACAUAAUAAGAUUUUUAUAUUGGAAAGUGACAUUAAUUACCACAUUAUAUCAGAGCAUCUGAACAACUACAUAAAAUAGUUAAAAAUAAGCAAACUAAAUGUAUGCAAUUAAAAUGCUACAUUUUGGAGUUCCCGUCAUGGCUCAGCAGAAAUGAAUCCAACUAUCAUCCAUGAGGACGCAGGUUUGAUCCCUGGCCUUGCUCAGUGGGUUAAGGAUCUGGUGUUGCUGUGAGCUGUGGUGUAGGUCGCAGGUGCUGCUCAGAUCCUGCAUUGCUGUGGCUGUGGUGCAGGCCAGCGGCUCCAGCUCUAAUUCAACCCCUACCCUGGGAACCUCCAUAUGCCUCAGGUGUGGCCCUAAAAAAUAAAGAAUAAACACCGUGUCUUGUAGGUUCAUGCACAUAAUAUAAAAUCAUGUAUUAAAAUAUAUGUACAUUGUGUUUUGAUUUUCAAGUGAAACAUAAGGAUCAUGAGGGCAAAGCUAGCCCAGUGUCCAGUACACCAUUGCUACUGGACAAUGACAGGUGAAUGAAUGGAUGAAUAAACCCCACAUUUGCAACUUGUGUGACUUACAUUGGAGAUCUCAAGCUUAGGGGAAAAAAAUAGCUGAUACAUUCUAUUUGUUUCUUUACAAACAAAUAGAACACAAAGCAGUGCUUAAUGAUGGAAAUCUAGAUAAUUAAGACAUUUUAUAUGGGUUAAUAUGUCAAAUCAAAGAACAAAGGCAGGGCGUGGUGAAAUGCGUGUGAUAUGACUGUAGAUGGGAUUGUGUUCCAGACAAUUAGAAAAAGGUUGUAGUUCAAAAUAAUACCAUUAAGUAUUAUCUGAACCAAUGUUUUAUGUGCUUCAGGAGGAAAAUAUUUUUAUGAGAAAACAAAGAAGGCAGGCGUUAAAACUUGAAAGCAUAUAGAGGACUUAGCAGAAGGAACAGUGAGUGGUGUUUAGAGAAGCUUGAAUAGUAGGCUUGGCUAAGACAGAGUCAGGAAUCUCUCCCCUUCCUUAUUUCCCUGCCCUAGUAGGUCUCCAGGAUUGGACCAUCAGUGAUUGGAGCUGCUAACUCUAGCAGUUUCUGAGAGGAAUAUAAAGAUGUUGGUAUUUAAAGUGUUGUCCAGGGACCAUCAGCAUCAGCCUCAUCUGGGGCCUUUUCGCAAAUGCAGACCCUCAGACCCAGACCCCUUAUCAGCUGCAGCAAAUCAGAAUCCGCAGUUAACAAAUUCUUCAGGUGAGUCACAUCAAAUCACAAAUUAAAAUUUGAGAAGUAUUGGCAUAGAUAUUAGAAAUGUGGGCUUUAAUGCAGUUUUUAACAUUAUUUUUAUAGCUUUAUUGAGAUAUAAUUGACAUAAACUGCACAUAUUUAAAAAUGUAGGUUUGUAGUUCUGUUUUUUUUUUUUUCCAAGAGUUGAGCAGGUUAUUUUCUUUUACUUUUUCAGUUGUUUUCCUUUAUAGGUUGUCACAGAAUUAUCGGGUAGAGUUCCUUGUGUUAUACAGCAGGUCCCAGUGGGCCAAUCAUUCCAUAAGCCUCAGUGUGCAUAUGCCAAUCUAAAACCCCUAAUCCAUCCCUGCCCUCCCCAGCCUGUCCCCUUUGAUAACCAUAAAUUUGUUUUCAAAGUCCAUGAGUCUGCUUCUGUUUUGCAGCUAAGUUCGUUUGCAUUCUUUUUUAGAUUCCACAUACAAGUGAUAUCAUGUUUGUCUUUCAUUGUCUAACUUCACUCAGUAUGAUAAUCUCUAGGUUCAUCCAUUUGCUGCAAAUGUCCUUAUUUCAUCCUUUUUAUGGCUAAGUAAUAUUCCAUGUGGUACAUAUAGUACCACAUCUUCUUUAUCCAUUACUCUGUUGAUGGAAAUUUAGGUAGCUUCCAUGUCUUGGCUGUUGAUGUGGAUUCAAAUCGCAGUUCCAGCCUGGGCAAGCUAAUUUUCUCAUCUUGUUUCAUCAUCUGUACUCUGUAGUUAUAGGAACCUCAUAAAACUAUCAUGUAAGGUAAAUGAGAUCAUUUUAUGCAGUCCCUGUCCUUUUGCAAGCAUUCAGUAAAUCUUAGAUAUUUUUUCAUAAUUUCCCUUCUGUUGAGCAAAGGAAAUAGCGAGGAAGAAGGAUUCUCACUAGACCUUUCCCUCUGCCUCCUUAAUCUUAUACUUAACAUAAACUUAUAGAUAAAUCUGAUAAUCUUUCUGCAUUUCUGUCUGCCACUAAAACUUUCUUCUACUUACGUUACUUUGGAUAAGUCACGUAACCUCUUCGAGCCUCAUUUUUCUCCUCAAUAGUAUGGGAUAGUCACAUCAUCCUAUCUCCCAGAGUUGUGAGAAUCAAAUGAACUGGUUUGUAAGACAGCAUUUUGUUCAUUGUAGAAAUGAACAGAUUUCACAGUUAGAAUCAUCUGAAGAUUAGAGGCUAACUAACAUAAGAUGCUGGAUCAGGUCAUUUAUAACAGUGCAUGGUAUAAAAUGACUUUUACAACCAUUCCCCCUUUGAUAGGAAGAGAGAGGUUGAGCUCUGGUUACAGGUGGGGAGAAGAAGUCAGUUCCCUCUUCAGAGACAGAGGCCUCUAUAUGUGAAUCCCAGAAAGUCUAUUGUUGAAAAAUGGCUUAGACUUACAAGGAUUCACUUGAGAAUCUUGCUCUUUACCUUAUGUGGCAGCAGAAAAUGAGACACAUGUAAAGAGUGAGACAAAAGUAAACAAGUAGGCAUGAAGUUCAGUUUCUGAGGAGGAACAGAGGAAGGGACGGUUGCAUCUGGUUCUGUGUCAGCAGCUUAUGAGAGAGAAGAUUUUUACAGUUGGCUUUGGGAGACAUGGAUAGAAUAUUGAAGAGGGAAUUGAGUGCAGUCUUCUUGGAAGGAGUAGCUUGAGAAAAAAAAAAAAAAAAAAAAAAAAAACAGGGCCAGAAAAGCCUGAAGCUCAUAAAGGAAGGUUUUUUAAAAAAAAAAAAAAAAAAUCUACUUUGGAAAUUCCAGAUUAGGGAAUUCCCUUGUGGCACAGUGUGUUAAGUAUCCUGCAUUAUCACUGCAGUGGCUCAAGUGCUACAAGUCUGAUCCCCUGCCUAGAAGUUUCCACAUGCUACAGACGCAGCU
rnacentral:lncRNA from 1 species